GACGAACGCUGGCGGCGUGCUUAACACAUGCAAGUCGAACGGAAAGGCCCUGCUUGCGGGGUACUCGAGUGGCGAACGGGUGAGUAACACGUGGGUGAUCUGCCCUGCACUUCGGGAUAAGCCUGGGAAACUGGGUCUAAUACCGGAUAGGAGCCAUUUUUAGUGUGAUGGUUGGAAAGUUUUUUCGGUGUAGGAUGAGCUCGCUGCCUAUCAGCUUGUUGGUAGGGUAAUGUCCUACCAAGGCGGCGUCGGGUAGCCGGCCUGAGAGGGUGGACGGCCACACUGGAACUGGGAGACGGGCGGGACUCAUACCGGAGGCAGCCGUAGGGAAUCUGCCGGAAUGGGCGAAAGGCUGCCGGAGCUAUGCCGGGUGAUUGAUGUAGGCUUGCGGAUCGUAGUAUUGUGUGAUUAGGGAAAAAAAUAUGCGACAGGAACUGUGCACAUCUUGACGGUACCUAAUCAGAAAGCCACGGCUAACUACGUG
rnacentral:rRNA from 1 species